AUACCAACAAAGUAUCCAAUACAGCAACAGAUAAAAGAGUAAUAUGCCUACUCGUCUUUCUAUCCGUACUCGUGUUGUUAUGUACAGGUGCACUCUCGUAUUUCGGAGUCAUUGUAUUUCAGAUGAAUAAAGAUGUAAACAGUUUAUUAUCAGACUACCUGACCAAUGGAAAAAAUGAAUGGAGAUCAGGGAACACUUUCAAUGAAACUUUAAACUCUCAUCUCAUCAACCUUAAAACUCAUAUUUCUUCGUUGAAUGAAACGGUCAACACCAUAUUCGCACAAAUUAUAAAGCUGAUCAAUGACACGAGGUCAUGAUACUAAAACUCGGAAGCAAGAUUAACAAUCGACAGAGUUUAUCAUGCGUUCGUUCACUCUAGCCACUUAGAACUGUUUUUUUACGAUAAUUAUAUACACAGAAUUAUGAGGAUACAAUGAACGUAUGUCAUAACAUUCAUACGAAGAUGAACAAAAGUCGUAAUCUUGUGUGGCAUAGCUGUUUCUAUUCCUUGAAAAAGCGUAUUUUCCCUUAAUUUCUGAGUUUUAAAUCAAAUUCUGUAUAUUAAUAGUGAUACUUAUCGUUGAAUAUUAUCAGCGCAAUAAUUAGUAAAGACUGUAAAGCUAUUUCUACUUAUUUGUGUUUUUUAGUUCAACAUAUUUUUUAGUUUGAAAUCAACAUGUUAUCAAGUUCAUACUGACUUAAGCUUUUAGUUACGAAUAACCACUUCGUGAACCAUUUACUUGCUUUUUUGAUUUGCUUGAAUUGCUCACAUACGCGUGUUACAUACGCACAAAAAUUAUUGAUCUCUACAUUUUAUAAUAUUGUGCGAAUUUAUCAUUUAAUACAGCUCAAUAGAAUCAAAUUUAAAUUUCAAAGCCGGCUCGUAAAAUUCUACAUCUGGGAUAAAUGAUAAAAGAAUUCCCCUCCAAAAAUGUAAUAUUGAAUCAAGUAAUAGGAAGCCGCUGCAAAGUUCAGUUUUGGUACUGUGCGGCAAUAUCACACUAGUUAGUGUCUGUCAAGGUAAUGUUGCUUUUUGUUUACAUACUCAUCAAAACUACAGUGAGAUUGCAGACUUAAAAGAAUUAGUUGUUUUGGGUUCAGUCAAUACAGAAGCAUAAUACAACGUUUUGGUAGCGGUUUGCACGUUUUGCGGGUAACACUUAGAGCUACAAUAAAAACAAAUCGACAUUUUCACGUUGUUACGUAUUGUAUUCACUGGUGAAUAACUCUUUAGCAUUGCGUGACAUGAUAUCGAAUGAGAUGUGAGCCACAAAGUAUAUAUUGAUACUGAAAUUUUAUUUCUUAGUACCCCUAUAGCUUCUUUAUGUUGGUAAUUUUUUUUGCUAAGAUAGGUUCAGUGUCUAGAAAUAUAUAUGAAAUGCGCAUUUAUUUGUAUGGCUAAAACGAGAUUCUCGCAAUGCGCCACGUGAAUAUUGUGUGUGAUUUAAAUUUACACAAUUCUAUCAUAUUCAAAAACUGUCAUA